CCUGGGACCCGGUUUGCAUGGUGAUGCCUGGUGAUGCCUUGUUUCCGGCUCCCUUCGGACACACUGCUACUGUGACAUUUACAGCAUCGUAUCAAGUUGGCCUGACAUGACCCCUGUUGCAACCAUAUCGCUCUUGCGGUUUGACUCGGCAACGCCCAACGUGAUCCAUCUUGAUGAAUGUUUCGGCAAUCCUGCAACUCCAGCUACCUCCCAGGAACAGCAUAAAUUGGGACAACGCCUGCUUCCACCCUUUAGUGGGCCCAGUGGCACGGCAAGGCGCAUGAUGCUAACUUUCGUGCUCUACUUUGUACAGCAUGCCCAGUUCAAGUCCUGCUUGUUCACCGUGGCUCGGCUAUGCCGGAAAUCAAGAUAACCGAACGAGAACAUUGCAACAUUGCCCAAUGGUGCAAUACAUGGGGGAUGGAAAUAAAUCUCUCCAAGACAGCGUCCAUCAGCCUAACCAAGAAAAUUACCUUUACCAUUUACGUACAAUCUUAAAGGCUUGAAUAUUACACAAGUCGACAAAGUAAAAUGCUUGGGUGUCACAUUCUCGCAAGACUUCAAAUGGGAUAAGCACAUUACCGAUACAUGUGCCAAAGAAUCCAAGCAACUAGGGUUUCUGCGCAGAACACUGAGUAAAGCACCUCAGCCUGUAAAAUUAACUGCCUGUAAAACUCUGGUCCGACCUAUUCUAGAAUACGGAAGCAUGCUGUGGGACCCUCAUCAAAAGUACCUUUGCAAUAAGCUUGAAAGAUUACAGAAUAGAGCUCUUAGGUUUAUCUAUUCAAAGUAUUCUUGGCACGAAAGUGCAAUGAACAUGCGCAAUGAAGCGCAUUUGGCAACUCUUUCCUGCCGGUGUUAUGUUGCAUCUAUGAAGUUUUUGUCUCCUCCUUUACGGACACAUCAAAAUAAGAAAAGACUAUAAUCAUCUGCCUGGCCGUCGGUCUAAUAGGACAAGCCACGAUAAGUGCAUCCGGCCAUUUAGUACGCAUUGAUACAUUUCAGUUUUCCUAUUUCCCUCGCGCUGUGAACGCUUGGAAUGAGCUACCAAGCAAAGCUGUAAAUAAUCCAAAUUUAGAUCAGUUUUGUUCACUAGUAGAGCAGCUAAUGGACCCUGUAUAACUACUUUUCCAGCUGUAAAACAGCAUAAAGUAUCUUGUAGUGUUAUGUUGCUUACGUUUGUACAUUUCACUUCUCAUGUAUAGCAUACAAUCUAUAAUACUAGAUUUUCUCUUCUCAUGUACGCAAAGUGCAACUAUGUAGAUAAUAUAAUAUUGAUGCACUUGUUGAAAAGUGUUCCGAUCUACCUCAUGUUUUCCUGUUGUCUUUUUAGGAACUUGUUGCAUCUUAUUACAUGCCUAUGAUGAGGUAAGCCCACUCUCUGUAUGGGUCUGCAGAAGACCUGCAGUAUUGAUAAAUAAUAAAAAAAAAAUCACUUUUCAGUUAGUCCUAACCAUAGACUAAAACAUGAGGAUGCGAGUGGUAGGGAAGCUACUACUCCUAUGUAUGGCACAAAGCAAAACUGUGUGGCUUGUUAAAGACAGAAAGGAAAAAAAUUAAUUGAUUACUGUUGUAUCUUGUAACCAGCAGUGGGCCACACUUGUGGACGCUCCAGCGCGACCAUCACAGUAUAGAUAGCCUACCCAAGCAGGGGGGCGUGCCUUCAGAUAUUAUGUGAUGUACCGGCCAGUCGUCGUCAAUAAACCUCUUGCGCAACUGUCGUUUCCUUAAUAAUGGCGACCAAGAUCGGAUGAACCGUCUGUCCUGAUUCAAGCAGCAAGCAGCAGUAGAAAUCAUGGACAAUGAUCUGCCACCGUCCUCUAGCCACCAACCAUUCAUCGGGCGCCUGAUGGAAUUCUGUACCACGACAGGCAACAUAGCUAUCUACUUUGAGCGGUUUGAGGCUUUUGCGAGGGUUAAUGAGCUGUUACGAGAACAAAGAAA